GACGAACGCUGGCGGCGUGCUUAACACAUGCAAGUCGAACGGAAAGGCCCUGCUUGCAGGGUACUCGAGUGGCGAACGGGUGAGUAACACGUGGGUGAUCUGCCCUGCACUUCGGGAUAAGCCUGGGAAACUGGGUCUAAUACCGGAUAGGAGCCAUUUUUAGUGUGAUGGUUGGAAAGUUUUUUCGGUGUAGGAUGAGCUCGCGGCCUAUCAGCUUGUUGGUGGGGUAAUGGCCUACCAAGGCGGCGACGAGUAGCCGGCCUGAGAGGGUGGACGGCCACAUUGGGACUGAGAUACGGCCCAGACUCCUACGGGAGGCAGCAGUGGGGAAUAUUGCACAAUGGGCGCAAGCCUGAUGCAGCGACGCCGCGUGGGGGAUGACGGCCUUCGGGUUGUAAACUCCUUUCGCUAGGGACGAAGCUUUUUGUGACGGUACCUAGAUAAGAAGCAACGGCUAACUACGUG
rnacentral:rRNA from 1 species